rnacentral:misc_RNA from 1 species
ACUUAGCCCUGGCUGAAGCGAUUACCCUGCAGCAACGAGGUACGAGGAGCGAAGCGUAAAAGCGGAAGACGGGAAGAAAC